CCAGACUCCUACGGGAGGCAGCAGUGGGGAAUAUUGGACAAUGGGGGGAACCCUGAUCCAGCGACGCCGCGUGAGUGAAGAAGUAUUUCGGUAUGUAAAGCUCUAUCAGCAGGGAAGAAAGAAAUGACGGUACCUGACUAAGAAGCCCCGGCUAACUACGUGCCAGCAGCCGCGGUAAUACGUAGGGGGCGAGCGUUAUCCGGAUUCACUGGGUGUAAAGGGAGCGUAGACGGCCAUGCAAGCCAGGGGUGAAAGCCCGGGGCCCAACCCCGGGACUGCCCUUGGAACUGCAUGGCUGGAGUGCGGGAGGGGCAGGCGGAAUUCCUGGUGUAGCGGUGAAAUGCGUAGAUAUCAGGAGGAACACCGGCGGCGAAGGCGGCCUGCUGGACCGCGACCGACGUUGAGGCUCGAAAGCGUGGGGAGCGAACAGGAUUAGAUACCCUCGUAAA
rnacentral:rRNA from 1 species